GUUAUUUGUCAGGCGCUGUCAAUCCGUCGCUUGAUUUAUGUCAGCUAUUGUGGCUGAUUACAUGCAAGUGUCGCUGCUGGCGGAAAAAAGAGAACAAACGGGGUGACGCUGUGCAAGAGACACCAACUUUAUUACCAUUAUUAUUAUUAUUAUUCGAAGAAUCGCUUUGACUCGUUUAAUUUUAAAAUGUAUCUUCUAAAGCACGCAUCCUCACUUCAGAUUUAUUUAAGUGGAACAAAAGCAUGUGGACUUAACCUUGAAAGCGUAUUAAAUAGCGCCUGUAACUUUCGGAGUUCUCAGUAAAACACCUCGGAGGUGGCAUGUACAUGAUGAAACUUUAAUAACUUGCAGACAGUCUCGCUCACAUGUUGUGCAGAGAAGCUGUUCGUGCUUUAAGGUGCGAAAGUGCUUUUGCUAUAAUCGGCCGAUUAUGGUGUUAACAAGAAGCUUUGGUGGGGGGGAUAAGACUGUAGACAUGAAAUGCUGUAAAGAAAACAAUGGACAAUAAAAAAAGGAACUGCAAAACAAACAAAACAAAAAAAAAGCCCAAAAAUGUUUUUUUAAUUAAUAUAAUAUCUACGUUUAAGUUAUUUCCCAUAAAUGAGCUUUAGCCUAAGCGAUGGGAUAAAGUUUAACUUGUAAAAAAUGUGUUACCAUCACCGUUUUCUCUGAAUAAACGCUCUCAUCAGUUUUUGCCAAACGCAUCUGCUAUUGUGUUGCUGAAACCUGUCAUCUGCAGAAAGGAAACAGACAGGCAACAAUAUAAAUUAAUUAAAAUAAUAACAAUGUGAAGAAGACACCCAGACAUUUUUAUUUUGAUGUCAGCUCGAUUUUAUUUACAUACAAUGAAAAUGAUUUAUUUUCUUGAAAGGAGGUAAAAAAAAAAAAAAAAAAAAACGUAUAGAAGGGAGGAAGAAAAGAAGAGAGAUGGUCUGUCAGGCAGCUCAGAGAAAGGAGAGAGGACGGGAGGGGGAAGAAGUUUAAAAUGCCUUGAACUAUUCACCGCUGAGAUGGCUAAUCAGUAUUGAGGCUCCGGGGCAAUCGGGCAGCUUUUCAAUGUAGUUUUCCCUUUCAUCUCAAUCGGGGGAUGGAGGCGCUCAAUUAAAAGCCUAUCAGUUUGUCGACUUGGAGAGCAAGAAAACCUGGAGUGGACAGUGAAGGGGGGUAAAAAUAUGUUGAAUUAACUUAAAAAAAAAUCUAUAAAAGAAAAUGUGUUUUAGGACAAUUUACUAACAGCUAAAACCUAAAGGAGAGGAAAUAAACGCGAAGUAUAUACUGCAUAAGAAGCAUAAUGUUGAGGCCUAUAAUAAUAACACAAACAAGAUUAUCCUUGAGUCAUAAUUUUAAAGUUAGAUGUGCAUUUUCAAAUGAACAGUUUUUUGUAUCUAUUCGUAAAAAAAAAAAGCUUAAUCCAAAAAUACAUUUUUUUUCCUUCAAAAAAUGUUUUCACUUCUGUUUCUUUCUGCUGAAGGAAAAAAUAGAGGGUAGCGUUUCACAAUAUGCAAAGAUGCGUGACUGAUAACGGGCUUGCUGUUUUCUGCGAGAGAUGUCAGUCCCUGACACAAUAUGUGAAUUAUUAGGGCAAAGAAGGGCAAUCAUAAAUUUUCACUGUCAGGCGAAAACCCUCUUUAUUGUCCGCAUGACAAAUGGGGCUCCUGCACCAGACACCAAAAUGCUCGGCAUUCCUCUUAAAUGGGAACACAUUUCUCGCGAUCAUAAUUCACCAUAUUUAAAUAGAAAGUUUUAAUAUCCCCCCUCCGCCAUAUAUUUUGCCACACGCUGACAUGUUUAUGAAUCACCUCGCAUGCAAAUACAACUAUUUACAUCUCGAGAGGAAAUGUGUUGGGAGAUGCAGGAUUACUGUGAGCUGCAUGUUGGGCCGACGUUCAACAUUCAAUAUUAAAAUAACUUUAUUCAUGUUUUCAGAAACAGUUUUGAGUCAUAUUUGUGUGCUGAGUUUUCAAAAUGUAAACACUUUAUCACUUUACAAUUCAAUCAUUUACUUUAAAACAUCGUUUAAUAAUCUAAAAUCAAUGUAGACAAAAGACAUAAAUAUAAACAUACGUUUAUAACUAUGAGUGAAAAUAAAACAGGGCACUAAAAUGCGUACCUUACGUAUUUUGUUUCCCUUUUCAUAAGAAAUGCUCAACAAUACAUUACGUUUACCUAAAAGUCCGUGGUACGGCAUUACCUGCCUAUACGCUCCGACGCAGAGAGGCAAUUGGUAAGAAAAAACAACAGAACAACGUUAUAACAUUACACGAUAUUUCCUUUGGUUCAAAUAAAGUGUUGUUUUUUUGUUUGUUUUGUUUUUGCCUGUGUCAACCCGGCACCGAGAGGAGCAACGGAGAGGACUGGAGCCAUGCAGACUCCCUCCGCUCCAGCAGAAGGAAGAGAAGAGGGAGAAAGUGAGCUCUUCCGCGUGUGGGAGGGGUGUAUAAGCGAGUGUGAGGAGCCACAGACCUGCCCCCUGGACCUAAGACAGACAACGAGGAGGUCCGAGCCACAGACAUCCAAAGCCCCCCCCUGAGUACGGGAACCCCAGGAGAACCAGGACUCCCCCAGAGAAGAGCAGGGGAGAGUUCCAGGGAACCACCCAGCAGCCACAUUGUAGAAGCCCCAGGGACAGCAGCGACGACCCCACAGGCCCCGCCGGCAGCUGUCCACGCAGGAGCAGGUCCAGCCAUUGACCCAGAGACCAGAGACCCCGGGACACAUCACUCCCCAAGCAGAGGCCCGGCAGAGCCCAUGCCCCG